GAAAAUAGUAAAUUCUUUUACUAUAUCUAAUCCUAGUACUUCUAAUACAUUAUCUCCCUAUCUAGCAUCCUCUCAAAGUAUUUGUUGGCUCAAACAGUUGUUUUAGUCAU